ACGAGUUAAAAUGGAGAUCUUGUUUCUAUAGAUUUUAUAUGUUUUUAUGUUACCUGAAGAUAAAAGCUUAUUUUUCACCUUCAUCGAUUUGAGUAAGCCCUUUCUUAUCUAGGGUUUUAAAAGCUGUUUUGUUUUACAUUUCGUUAUGGAUUUUAAUGGUGCAUAUGUUGAUUGAUUUAAAUCUUGUUAUGAAAGCUUGAAAAUGUUUCAAUAUCAUUACAUGUUUCCUCCAUAGAUAUCUUAUAUGCACUAGAUAGUGCAUCUAAUU